rnacentral:rRNA from 1 species
UUAAGCGACUAAGCGUACACGGUGGAUGCCCUGGCAGUCAGAGGCGAUGAAGGACGUGCUAAUCUGCGAUAAGCGUCGGUGAGGUGAUAUGAACCGUUAUAACCGGCGAUUUCCGAAUGGGGAAACCCAGUGUGUUUCGACACACUAUCAUUAACUGAAUCCAUAGGUUAAUGAGGCGAACCGGGGGAACUGAAACAUCUAAGUACCCCGAGGAAAAGAAAUCAACCGAGAUUCCCCCAGUAGCGGCGAGCGAACGGGGAGGAGCCCAGAGCCUGAAUCAGUGUGUGUGUUAGUGGAAGCGUCUGGAAAGGCGCGCGAUACAGGGUGACAGCCCCGUACACAAAAAUGCACAUACUGUGAGCUCGAUGAGUAGGGCGGGACACGUGGUAUCCUGUCUGAAUAUGGGGGGACCAUCCUCCAAGGCUAAAUACUCCUGACUGACCGAUAGUGAACCAGUACCGUGAGGGAAAGGCGAAAAGAACCCCGGCGAGGGGAGUGAAAAAGAACCUGAAACCGUGUACGUACAAGCAGUGGGAGCCUCUUAAUGGGGUGACUGCGUACCUUUUGUAUAAUGGGUCAGCGACUUAUAUUCUGUAGCAAGGUUAACCGAAUAGGGGAGCCGAAGGGAAACCGAGUCUUAACUGGGCGUUAAGUUGCAGGGUAUAGACCCGAAACCCGGUGAUCUAGCCAUGGGCAGGUUGAAGGUUGGGUAACACUAACUGGAGGACCGAACCGACUAAUGUUGAAAAAUUAGCGGAUGACUUGUGGCUGGGGGUGAAAGGCCAAUCAAACCGGGAGAUAGCUGGUUCUCCCCGAAAUCUAUUUAGGUAGAGCCUUGAGCGGACACCUUCGGGGGUAGAGCACUGUUUCGGCUAGGGGUCCAUCCCGGAUUACCAACCCGAUGCAAACUACGAAUACCGAAGAGUGAUACUCAGGAGACACACGGCGGGUGCUAACGUCCGUCGUGGAGAGGGAAACAACCCAGACCGCCAGCUAAGGUCCCAAAGUCUAUAUUAAGUGGGAAACGAAGUGGGAAGGCUUAGACAGCUAGGAUGUUGGCUUAGAAGCAGCCAUCAUUUAAAGAAAGCGUAAUAGCUCACUAGUCGAGUCGGCCUGCGCGGAAGAUGUAACGGGGCUCAAAUAUAGCACCGAAGCUGCGGCAUCAGUAGCAAUACUGUUGGGUAGGGGAGCGUUCUGUAAGCGGAUGAAGGUAGCUCGAGAGGGCUGUUGGACGUAUCAGAAGUGCGAAUGCUGACAUAAGUAACGAUAAAACGGGUGAAAAACCCGUUCGCCGGAAGACCAAGGGUUCCUGUCCAACGUUAAUCGGGGCAGGGUGAGUCGGCCCCUAAGGCGAGGCUGAAAAGCGUAGUCGAUGGGAAACGGGUUAAUAUUCCCGUACUUGGAUAAACUGCGAUGUGGGGACGGAGCAGGUUAGGUUAUCGCACUGUUGGAUAUGUGCGUUUAAGUUGGUAGGUGAGAAGUUUAGGCAAAUCCGGACUUCUAUCACACCGAGAGAUGAUGACGAGGCUCUACGGAGCUGAAGUAACCGAUACCACACUUCCAGGAAAAGCCACUAAGCUUCAGGUUUAUCUAAACCGUACUGAAAACCGACACAGGUGGUCAGGUAGAGAAUACUCAGGCGCUUGAGAGAACUCGGGUGAAGGAACUAGGCAAAAUAGCACCGUAACUUCGGGAGAAGGUGCGCCGGCGUAGAUUGUAGUCCCUAGCGGGCGAAGGUUGAACCGGUCGAAGAUACCAGCUGGCUGCAACUGUUUAUUAAAAACACAGCACUCUGCAAACACGAAAGUGGACGUAUAGGGUGUGAUGCCUGCCCGGUGCUGGAAGGUUAAUUGAUGGUGUAAUCGAAAGAGAAGCUCCUGAUCGAAGCCCCAGUAAACGGCGGCCGUAACUAUAACGGUCCUAAGGUAGCGAAAUUCCUUGUCGGGUAAGUUCCGACCUGCACGAAUGGCAUAAUGAUGGCCAGGCUGUCUCCACCCGAGACUCAGUGAAAUUGAAAUCGCCGUGAAGAUGCGGUGUACCCGCGGCUAGACGGAAAGACCCCGUGAACCUUUACUAUAGCUUGACACUGAACAUUGAAUUUUGAUGUGUAGGAUAGGUGGGAGACUUUGAAGAUGAUACGCCAGUAUUGUUGGAGUCGUCCUUGAAAUACCACCCUUUAACGUUUGAUGUUCUAACGAAGAUUACGAAACGUGGUCUCGGACAGUGUCUGGUGGGUAGUUUGACUGGGGCGGUCUCCUCCCAAAGAGUAACGGAGGAGCACGAAGGUUUGCUAAUGACGGUCGGACAUCGUCAGGUUAGUGCAAUGGUAUAAGCAAGCUUAACUGCGAGACAGACAAGUCGAGCAGGUACGAAAGUAGGUCAUAGUGAUCCGGUGGUUCUGAAUGGAAGGGCCAUCGCUCAACGGAUAAAAGGUACUCCGGGGAUAACAGGCUGAUACCGCCCAAGAGUUCAUAUCGACGGCGGUGUUUGGCACCUCGAUGUCGGCUCAUCACAUCCUGGGGCUGAAGUAGGUCCCAAGGGUAUGGCUGUUCGCCAUUUAAAGUGGUACGCGAGCUGGGUUUAGAACGUCGUGAGACAGUUCGGUCCCUAUCUGCCGUGGGCGUUGGAGAAUUGAUUGGGGCUGCUCCUAGUACGAGAGGACCGGAGUGGACGCACCACUGGUGUUCCGGUUGUGUCGCCAGACGCAUUGCCGGGUAGCUAAGUGCGGAAGAGAUAAGUGCUGAAAGCAUCUAAGCACGAAACUUGCCAAGAGAUGAGUUCUCCCUGUUUUUAAGACAGUAAGGGUUGUUUAAGACUAAGACGUAGAUAGGUCUGGUGUGUAAGCGGUGCGAGCCGUUGAGCUAACAGAUACUAAUUGCCCGAGAGGCUUAACUAU